rnacentral:rRNA from 1 species
GUAGUCAUAUGCUUGUCUCAAAGAUUAAGCCAUGCAUGUCUAAGUACACACUUUGGUAAAGUGAAACCGCGAAUGGCUCAUUAAAUCAGCUACAAUUUAUUAGAUCGUACACUGUUACUUGGAUAACUGUGGGAAUUCUAGAGCUAAUACAUGCCAUGAGUCUCUGCUCUUCGGGGCAGAGCGCAGUUAUUAGACCAAAACCAGCCAUAUCCUUUUGGGGUAUGCUCUUUUGGUGACUCUGGAUAACCUUCAGCCGAUCGCAUGGCCUAGUGCCGGCGACGUAUCUUUCAAGUGUCUGCCCUAUCAACUUUCGAUGGUACGUGAUAUGCCUACCAUGGUGACAACGGGUAACGGGGAAU